rnacentral:rRNA from 1 species
CGUACUCAGUUCGGAGUUGUAGUCUGCAACUCGACUACAUGAAGCUGGAAUCGCUAGUAAUCGCAGAUCAGAAUGCUGCGGUGAAUACGUUCCCGGGUCUUGUACACACCGCCCGUCACACCAUGGGAGGUCGGAAAUGCCCGAAGCCGGUGACCCAACCAAAAGGAGGGAGCCGUCGAAGGCAGGUCUGAUAACUGGGGUGAAGUCGUAACAAGGUAGC